rnacentral:rRNA from 1 species
GAUGAACGCUGGCGGCGUGCCUAAUACAUGCAAGUCGAGCGAACGGACGAGAAGCUUGCUUCUCUGAUGUUAGCGGCGGACGGGUGAGUAACACGUGGAUAACCUACCUAUAAGACUGGGAUAACUUCGGGAAACCGGAGCUAAUACCGGAUAAUAUUUUGAACCGCAUGGUUCAAAAGUGAAAGAAGGUCUUGCUGCCACUUAUAGAUGGAUCCGCGCUGCAUUAGCUAGUUGGUAAGGUAACGGCUUACCAAGGCAACGAUGCAUAGCCGACCUGAGAGGGUGAUCGGCCACACUGGAACUGAGACACGGUCCAGACUCCUACGGGAGGCAGCAGUAGGGAAUCUUCCGCAAUGGGCGAAAGCCUGACGGAGCAACGCCGCGUGAGUGAUGAAGGUCUUCGGAUCGUAAAACUCUGUUAUUAGGGAAGAACAUAUGUGUAAGUAACUGUGCACAUCUUGACGGUACCUAAUCAGAAGGCCACGGCUAACUACGUG